rnacentral:lncRNA from 1 species
GGGGUUUUUGUCUCACUUCCUCGUUGUCUGAGACACUGUGAGUAACCAGAGCUGCUCCCACUGCUAUCAGCUGUAGCACAGUAAUAGUCAGCCUCGUCCUCAGCCUCGAGCCCAGAGAUGAGCAGAAGCCCUGCAUUGGCCGAGGUGUCUUUGGAUCCAGAGAAGUGGCUGGGGACCCCAGAGCCCUGGUGCUUAACUGAGUCUGAGUAGAAACUCAGAAGAUACCCCGGAGGGCUCCCUGGCUUCUGCUGGUACAGAAUAUGAGAGAGCUUCCAACACUGACAUCACUGCUCAGGGUGCAGGUAAUGGGACUUCCCUUUGAUUCCAGUUUCCUGAGAGAUUGUUUCAAAAUCACAAACAAGGCGAGUAACCUCAACAAGAUGAUGGAAUAGGAGGCCCUCCACUCGUGUCCCCACUCAGCAACCAUGAUUUGGUGGCCAUCCAUUGACAAAAGUGCCUUUUUGGGAGCUUCUGGAUCCAGGGUAAAGCAUUGCCCAAGUCCUACUAAUCACUGUGCUGAGGGGAUGUCUUCCUUUAGUUGCAUCCAUCACUCUUUGGUUUCUACGAGAGUUUUCUUGAUUUCUCCUACUAGACUCUGCCGGCCUGGGACAUGACCCC